AAAUAAAAAUUAGGCAAAUCAGUAGCGUGAACUUGUUACAUUUUCCAUAAAUUACACCUGAAAGCCAAACAUGCCAAACUUUUUUGUGAGUAGUGUAUCUAAGUAGCUCCUCACCGUGGUCCCUUUUCAGUCAGAAUUGUUCUCCUGUCACUGAUGUCUGACACUGUAUCGCCCCCUGUUGGCGGUUAAUGUAAUCACAUUAACUCAAAAGCAGAG